ensembl:lncRNA
GUUUAUUUUAUGUUUAAACAGCAGAACCACAGUCUGCCUGAAACAUAGAAUACGUGGCUAAAAGGGCGGUUCAGCCACAGCCUAGAGAGGAAAGAAGAGGCGUUGUACAGCUGUAGCGCUGAAACAGCUCUUGUGAUACAGGAGCUUGAGCAGCUUUGGGCAGGACUCGGGAGAGCAAAACAAGAGCUUCUCCUUGCUGGCUGUUGUAAGGAAAGAAACUCCUACUAAGAUGGAAAGAGAUGAUAAUGAAAAUCUCUCUUCUACCCUGCAAGCCUGAGUCUCAGCUGUGGAGAAACUAGUUCAAUGGCUCAAAAAAAAGACACCCUAGAAUGGUGCAUGCAGGCAUGGCAGAGGGGCAGCCACAGAACUUCUCUAUUGCAACUAGUUCUGCUGGACCUACCCUCAUGCUACCAUGGAUCUGUGGGGCAUAAGGAGCUGGGAAGGGAC